rnacentral:lncRNA from 1 species
CAUUAUUAUUACAGGGUAAAAGACUUGGCAAAAAACUGUCUCAUUGAAAUGGAAAAUUUUCCUAAAGUUUCUAUUAUCCUAAACUGCACUUCAGACCUCAGCAGAGUUUUGCAGAAAGUUGAAUUGAAGUGUCCAUGGAGCCAGUGGUAUUUAUAUGAAACCCAAAGAAACUUGGAGCUGGGAAAAUUCAAGUUUAGGAUACCAAGGCAAAUAAUAUAAUCUGUCCUUUAUUGUAACAAAAUGAAAAUGGCCAUCAAUGUUGCUUUAUUACCACUUAAAGUGCCUAUGCCUGAAAAGGUCUCAGGUGAUGAAAUACACUCCUUGUUUGAAGACAUGAGCAUCCAUGGAUGAAGGCUGUGUGAUGGCCUCCCUGCUGAAGUCCUCCUAUUUAACCCAAGUCACAUGUCCUGAAUGGUUAACAGGCCUGAGAGAGCUUGUGAACUUUGACAGCAAAGGAGGAGUUUUCUCCGCAGGCGCUGUGGAGGAACAACAACAUCAGUUUUCUGAACAAAGAGACUCCUGUAACAGAACAAGGAGAGACUAUUAUAGGUUUCUACCUACUGACUUUAGGUUGGCUGUCUUGGCUUGGGAACAGCAUUGUGAUUUUUGUCCUGUAUAAACAAAGAGCUCUUCUGCAGCCCACAGACUACCUCACAUUUAACUUGGCGGUAUCAGAUGCUAGUAUCUCCGUGUUUGGUUAUUCACAGGGGAUCACUGAAAUCUUCAAUGUCUUUAGAGAUGAU